rnacentral:rRNA from 1 species
UACGUAGGGUGCAAGCGUUGUCCGGAAUUAUUGGGCGUAAAGAGCUCGUAGGCGGCUCGGUAAGUCGGGUGUGAAACCCCCAGGCUCAACCUGGGGACGCCACCCGAUACUGCUGUGGCUAGAGUCCAGUAGGGGAGUGUGGAAUUCCCGGUGUAGCGGUGAAAUGCGCAGAUAUCAGGAGGAACACCGAUGGCGAAGGCAGGUCUCUGGGCCACUACUGACGCUGAGAAGCGAAAGCAUGGGGAGCGAACAGG